UACGGAGGAUCCGAGCGUUAUCCGGAUUUAUUGGGUUUAAAGGGUGCGCAGGCGGGAGAUUAAGUCGGCGGUGAAAUUUUGCAGCUCAACUGUAAAAGUGCCUUCGAAACUGGUUUCCUUGAGUGUGGAUGAAGUAGGCGGAAUUUGUGGUGUAGCGGUGAAAUGCAUAGAUAUCACGAGGAACUCCGAUUGCGCAGGCAGCUUACUAAACCAUAACUGACGCUGAUGCACGAAAGCGUGGGGAUCAAACAGGAUUAGAUACCCGGGUAGU
rnacentral:rRNA from 1 species